rnacentral:lncRNA from 1 species
AGGCUUCCACUAUGACGACGCUUUGUAACAAGUAACCUACAAACUGCGAUGACAACAGACCAAGCUUCCUUUCUCCCAGGUCUGCAGGUGAGCCCGGCCCUCCCUCCAGGCCCCUGUGCACUCAGGUCCACCCCAUUGUCUCUGUCGUGGGACCCGCGGCUGCCAGGCUGGCUCUUCUCUCCGCGCAUGACGACGGUGUGGAGGCCAAGCCCGACAACCAGGCCGAGGGACAGACCCCGUCAUGCCUGACAGCCUGUGGGUCAAAGCCACUCACAGGCUGAGCCCAGUGUCAAUGACUCAGGAAAAAGCGCUCUGCCUCCUCCGGCAGGAAGCAUGGGCAGAGUGUGAAGUGCGGUCCAGACGCAGGGAGGGAGCGACAGGCUGCAGACCAGACGCCACCCAGCCGUGGUAGAGUCCCUGCAGCCAGCAGCACGCUGAGGUCUGCGCCUGCCACCAGUGCCCCCCCAGGUCUCCAGCAGUGGAAUGUGGGCCCCUCUUCCUCAUCUCCCGGGCUCUGGCCGAGCCAUCCUCCCGGCCCAGCCCUGCAGUCCCAUCCCAGGGCUAAGAGGGAGCCAUGGUCAUGCCCUGACGUGCCCAUGGAGAGGACAGAGGGAGCAGCGGCUUGCCCACCAGCUGUGGACUUGAUGCUCCCCACAGCCCUGUAGACUGGGGGUCUCACCAGGCCCCACACGCUCUU